rnacentral:rRNA from 1 species
GUCCACGGCCGUACCACCCUGAACGCACCCAAUCUCGUCUGAUCUUGGAAGCUAAGCAGGGUCGGGCCCGGUUAGUACUUGGAUGGAAGAGUGCAGAUAUCUUUUCUAUGUACU